AUCGCCUUUUCUUGGCAAAUCUUAAGAGGACUUAAAUCCGGCCCUGGUAAUUAGGCCCCAUCAUAACUGCCCACUGGGCUCUUAAUCUGGCCCUGGGGUUAGGGCAGCUGCUAAUUGUGCUAUUGGUGUUCAAAGGACUCCAAUAAUUGUGUACUGCAAAAAUAUUUAAAAUUCUAAGUCUCUGGCUUUUGGAUUUUUGUGCCCCCUCCCCCUGCUGUGGCGCCUCUGCCGCUUUAUGGACAUGCUGGCCCUGCCCACUACCAAUUUCAAAAUAUAAGUGCUCUAUACUGAGGGAUCUUUUAAUUGCUGUGAAAGCAAUUGUACCUGCCCUCUAGAAAGGCCAGGAAACUCUGGCAAAAAACUAUUUGGUUAGAUAGGGUAGAAGAAAUUAAAAUCGG